rnacentral:rRNA from 1 species
ACUCCUACGGGAGGCAGCAGUGAGGAAUAUUGGUCAAUGGACGCAAGUCUGAACCAGCCAUGUCGCGUGCAGGAAGACUGCCCUAUGGGUUGUAAACUGCUUUUAUACGGGAAGAAAUAUAGCUACGUGUAGUUAUUUGCCGGUACCGUAUGAAUAAGCAUCGGCUAACUCCGUGCCAGCAGCCGCGGUAAUACGGAGGAUGCGAGCGUUAUCCGGAUUCAUUGGGUUUAAAGGGGUGCGUAGGCGGAAGUAUAAGUCAGGGGUGAAAGUUUGUGGCUCAACCAUAAAAUUGCCUUUGAUACUGUAUUUCUUGAGUACAUUUGAGGUAGGCGGAAUGUGUUGUGUAGCGGUGAAAUGCUUAGAUAUAACACAGAACACCGAUUGCGAAGGCAGCUUACUAAACUGUAACUGACGCUGAUGCACGAAAGCGUGGGGAUCGAACAGGAUUAGAUACCCUGGUAGCACAGGGG